GGAUAUCGAGCUCAAAGUGAAUGCCUCCAAUAUGGGUGCUUUUGAUCUGGAGAUGGUGAAGCCUUUAAUAACAUCUGCCUUUAAGAAUCCUCUGUUGGAUCAUCUGAAUGCACUCUUUGGCCUGGGAGCCAUGCUUCCCAAUAUUGCUAAACUGAGCUACAUCACCCCUGAGAUCUUUGUGCAUGAGGGUUAUAUUGUGGUGUCCUGUGGACUUCAUUUCCAGAGCUGAGCAAGAAGAAGACUUCUGGACAGAGCAGGCUGUGUUUAACUGGACCUCUCUUGUUUGGCCAUUUUAUACAUUGAAUGAAUAUCAAAUCCAAAAUUUCUUUAAUGCUCUAAAGCCUAUUUUUGUUUUUGUUUUUGUUAGCUAUGUGAUUGUGGGUUUAAUACUGCUGUACUUGCCUGGAAUUUUUCUUUCUCUCUUAUCCCUCCCUCACAUCCCAAUCUCAUCUAAAGGAGGAACAUACUGCUAGAUGGACUGUACAAAGAUUCCUAUCUCUUUCCCAACUCAUAUUAAAUACUUCCUUUAGUGUACCAA